rnacentral:rRNA from 1 species
AUGCUAGGCUCCUUGAGCUUUCCGGUCACCUCCCCCGACCUAACCUCUGCUUCCCCGCUCCUGGCCUCCUUUGCUGCUCUUCAGCUUGAUGAAACCCUUGCCGCCGCUUUCCUCCAAGCUUGCUAUGGUGGCUCCGCCAUCGAGUUCUAUGUCCAUAAGAUCUCGGACCACCUUCUCCGCUUCCACAUCGCCUCCAGCGAGGUGGCUGACCUUGUCCCUCACUAUGCCGUUUUCAAGCGGCGCCUCGUCUCCCUUGUCGUGCUGCCGUUUGACCUCAUCUUGGCCACCCCUGUGCGGCCUGCGACGGCAUUUCUAUUCUACUGCCGCUCUUUGGCCUCCGUCCUUUCUGUCUCAUCGGACCUCGGCCUUGCUUUUGAGCGCCUUGCAUGGUCACGUUUUCGCUCCCCCGUCACUCUCCAGGCUGGGCGCCCUGCCCAUGGGUGCCGCUCGUAUGCAAGGAUCAUCUAG